rnacentral:misc_RNA from 1 species
GGCUAUGCAAAUAGGGGCGUUACAGAAUCCCUUUUUGUGUUCUGGGUCUAUGGUGUCAGAUGGCUAUGCCCGAAUGAUUGUCAUACGUGUUGGCAUGAACACAAGAUGGGGCAAGAUGCUUAGCACAAAAUGGAAAGAUCCACAUGAAACAACACCUAUACAAGCUCGGCUGCAAACAGUAACUUCUUUAACCAGUAAAAUUGGCUUGUUGGCAGCUUCAUUGGUUUCCUUGGUAUGGUUGGUUCAGUACUUCACGGGGAAUAAGAGAAACGGAUAUGUGCCAGGCAAGACAGAAUUUCAUGAAGUUGUCUCUGAGAUGGUGGGAAUCCUAGCCACUGUAAUUGCUAUAGCAGCAGGAGCAGUUGCAGAGAGCUUACCACUGGCUGUCAUAAUCACUCUUUGCUCAUUCAAUGAAGAGUAUGACAAACAAUCAGGCUAUUGUGAGAAAACAUUCGGCCUGUGAGGCAAUUGCUUCAGCCACCAUCUACACAAAAUUGAAUCAGAUGGCAGUUACAAAGUUUUGGUUAGGGGAAGGAUUCAUUGAACAAGGUGCCUCCUCGCAGGUUGUGCCAAGCGUCAUUGAAUUGCUCCACCAAGCAGUUAGUCUGCACACAACUCAACCCCCUUCAAAAGUUUCCUCAUUCAGCUGGACUCCAACAGAAAAGGCGAUCAUUUGUUGGGCCAUCCAAGAGAUGGGCAUGAAUACCCAGGAACUGAAGGAAACCUGCAGCAUUGUACACGAUGAAGCAUUUGAUUCAGUC